GACGAACGCUGGCGGCGUGCUUAACACAUGCAAGUCGAGCGGUAAGGCCCUUCGGGUACACGAGCGGCGAACGGGUGAGUAACACGUGGGUGACCUGCCCUUAGCUCUGGGAUAAGCCUGGGGAAACUGGGUCUAAUACCGGAUAUGACCUCAUGACGCAUGUUGUGGGGUGGAAAGCCUUGUGCGGCUAGGGAUGGGCCCNGGCCUAUCAGCUUGUUGGUGGGGUGAUGGGCCACCAAGGCGACGACGGGUAGCCGGCCUGAGAGGGCGACCGGCCACACUGGGACUGAGACACGGCCCAGACUCCUACGGGAGGCAGCAGUGGGGAAUCUUGCGCAAU
rnacentral:rRNA from 1 species